GUUUCAGAAUAUACGUGUUCCUCGUGAGAACUAGCUUAAUUUGGUUGCUGACAUUUUGCCAGAUGGGCGAUAUGUUAGCAUGAUAGAUAAUCCAGAUCAGAGGUUUGCAGCUUUCCUAUCUCCGCUUACACUUGGUCGAGUAAACAUUACAAUUAACUCAGUCUACAUUUCAAAGGUCAGCCUAGCAAUUGCUGUGAGAUACAGUUUGUCAAGGAGAGCCUUUUCAAUUGCACCAGAUGCCCCUUA